UACGCCCGAUCUCGUCCGAUCUCGGAAGCCAAGCAGGGUCGGGCCUGGUUAGUACUUGGAUGGGAGACCGCCUGGGAAUGCCAUGUGCUGUAAGCUU
rnacentral:rRNA from 1 species